rnacentral:tRNA from 1 species
GGAAUAUGGCUUAAUGGUAGAGUGCUUGCCUAGCAUGCAUGAAGCCCUGGGUUUGAUUCCUAAGUUCCA